rnacentral:rRNA from 1 species
UACAGAGGGUGCGAGCGUUGUUCGGAAUUAUUGGGCGUAAAGCGCUUGUAGGCGGCACGUCAAGUCGCGUGUGAAAUCCCCAGGCUUAACCUGGGAAGUGCGCGCGAAACUGACGAGCUUGAGUGCCGGAGAGGGUCGCGGAAUUCCCGGUGUAGAGGUGAAAUUCGUAGAUAUCGGGAGGAACACCAGUGGCGAAGGCGGCUUACUGGUCCGGUACUGACGCUGAGGUGGCGAAAGCGUUGGGGAGCAAACAGG